rnacentral:rRNA from 1 species
GAAAACGGGCGUGGACGAAGUAGAAGUGAGAAUGUCAGCUUGAGUAGCGAAAACAUUGGUGAGAAUCCAAUGCCCCGAAAACCUAAGGUUUCCUUCGGAAGGCUCGUCCGCGGAGGGUAAGUCAGGACCUAAGGCGAGGCUGAAAAGCGUAGUCGAUGGAAAACAGGUUAAUAUUCCUGUACUUCUGGUUAUUGCGAUGGAGGGACGGAGAAGGCUAGGCCAGCACGGCGUUGGUUGU